rnacentral:snRNA from 1 species
CUCAUUUUUCGGUCUUUUGGCUAAGAUUAAGUGUAAUAUUUGUUUUACAAGUUCAAUAUCAGGUAUAUGGACAAUAUGUUCAUUUUGACAUUAAAUCCAUUAAGACUCAAG